rnacentral:rRNA from 1 species
AUGGCGUCCUCCAGUACCACGGCGCCGGCUCUCUACUCCAACCAAAUCUCCGAGAAGCUUACUCGUGAGAACCAUCUGCUAUGGAAGGCCCAGGUGCUUCCGCAGAUCAGGGGCGCUGGGUUGUACGGGUACCUAGAUGGAUCCGUCGCGGCACCAGAAGAGAAGAUCUCGACCACGGACAAGGAGGGCAAGGUCACCUCCGUCCCCAACCCCGACUUCAUCGCCUGGAGAGGGCAGGAUCAGCAGGUCCUGUCCUACAUCAUCAACUCGCUGUCCAAGGAGGUACUCGUUCAGGUUCUUCAUCUGGAGACCUCACACGCGAUGGCGAAUUUCGAUCAACGGGUCGAGCUGCUGCAAGGGACCAACUCCGGCUUCAAGUCCUCGGCUAACAUGGCUGCACGAGGGCGCGGGCGUGGCCGUGGCGCUCCUAGUGGUCGCGGCGGAGGCCGUGGCAGUAGCAACACGAGGGGUGGCAGCAGCGCCAAUGGCAACAACAACGCCCAUCCCUUCAACAACACCAACAGGGGUGUACGUACAGGCAACAUCAACAACAACCGUCCGACUUGCCAGAUCCGCGGCAAGUCAGGCCAUACGGCCAUGGACUGCUGGUACCGCUUCACCGACGAUUAUCUUCCAGAAGAGAAGUCAGCGGGCGCCGCCAACCUGUCCUCCUACGGGGUGGACACCAACUGGUACGCCGACAGCGGGGCGACAAAUCACAUCACCGGAGAGCUAGAGAAGCUCACCGUCCGCGACAACUACCGCGGCACCGAUCAGAUCCACACCGCUGAUGGUUCAAGACCAAACAACGGGGAGAAUUCUCUAUCGAGGCAGAUGUAG